UGAAGUUGCAAAGACUAAAGUCUCAAAACCAAAGAGAUAUUCUUUAUCAAAUUUAAGACUGGUCCACGCCCCCCUAAAACGGCUAAUUUAAACACGCCCCCACGUCUAUGUCAAGAUGUGGAAAUAUUUGCGUAAUGCCGCCCAAAUGUUCACGCAAAGAAAGAAGGCGUGGUUUCAGUACCGCAGUAGUGUUGAUGCAGUAAUGUCAGGGAGACGCUGUGUGUUUCUAUGUGAAAGCAAAAGCACUUUAUUUGGCCUUCCAAAAGUACAUGCAUUUAGGAAUCAUUACGAUUACUUACAACAGAACAGCAAUGCAUUUUAUGGACGACCAUUUCGUGAAACUAGGAGAGGAGGUAAUUCUGACUUUACUAUGACAAUCUGGCGCUUCUGAAUCAGUGACUAUGAAGCUGGCGAUUAUGGAAAGGGGUGCUACAUUUCUGACGGUACUGCUUGCGGUAUUCUGCCAAUCACAAUGCACUGGGUCAGUUGGCCAAUCAGAGCAGACUGUGCUUGUCGGAAGGCGGGACUUCGUAGAAAACGACACCUUUCAGAGAGGCGGGGCAUAGAGGACCUACACUAAUGGCCGGCAUGAGAACUGUGGAGUGAGAAGAAACACGAGUCCAAGGCGGUGUCAGUGAUUUCCUCCCCUCUGCAAAAUCUGCUCUAGAAGUUUCUGCAAAAAAAUAAAUAAAUAAAAAGCC